AUUGAACGCUGGCGGCAUGCUUUACACAUGCAAGUCGAACGGCAGCGCGGGCUUCGGCCUGGCGGCGAGUGGCGAACGGGUGAGUAAUGCAUCGGAACGUGCCCAGUAGUGGGGGAUAGCCCGGCGAAAGCCGGAUUAAUACCGCAUACGACCUGAGGGUGAAAGCGGGGGACCGAAAGGCCUCGCGCUAUUGGAGCUGCCGAUGUCGGAUUAGCUAGUUGGUGGGGUAAAGGCUUACCAAGGCGACGAUCCGUAGCUGGUCUUAGAGGACGACCAGCCACACUGGGACUGAGACACGGCCCAGACUCCUACGGGAGGCAGCAGUGGGGAAUUUUGGACAAUGGGGGCAACCCUGAUCCAGCCAUGCGGCGUGCGGGAAGAAGGCCUUCGGGUUGUAAACCGCUUGUGUUCGGGAAGAAAUCCUCUGGGCUAAUACCCCGGGGGGAUGACGGUACCGGAAGAAUAAGCACCGGCUAACUACGUG
rnacentral:rRNA from 1 species